UUUUGAGCAGAGCAGUUACUGGAAUCACGGUCUCUCGCGAUGGAUCUUCAGUAUUCACAACAUCCCAAGAUUCCACCUUGAAGAUGUUUUCUAAAGAAUCAAAAAUGCUACAAAGAAGUAUAUCAUUUUCAAAUAUGGCUUUAUCAUCUUGUUUACUUUUACCAGGAGAUGCCACUGUCAUAACUUCUUCAUGGGAUAAUAAUGUGUAUGUAUCUGUGUACCCUGCUCUGUGAUUCCACGUGCAGAAUAGCUGCCUCUGUGGACAUGAGGUGUGAAAAGCCAGAAGCUUUCCCUGCCAGGACACAGCACUAUUUUCUAAAGGGAACAGAUAUUAGAGAUGAGGACAGUAUGGUUGGAUUUGAAUAUGAUUACUUGGAUUGAAUAAUUUCUCCAAUUGGAGUCUGUUUUUCUCUAAGUUUUAAAUUGAGGUGAAAACACAGAUGAGCCAGACAUGGAAAUUUCUAAUUUUAAAUUCAAAUUUUGAAUAUUUUGAUUUAGUAAUUUGAGAACAAGCAAUUUGUAAUUCUAGUGAGCCUUAGUAAGUAUAGAAUGAAACAACAUAAUGUUUCUUUAAUAUAUGUUUAGGAGCCUUAAAAUUAAGCCAGACUACUGUUUUAAUACUUCUCAUUAUCUUUUAGCUAUUUUUAUUCCAUAGCAUUUGGAAGACGCCAGGACACAUUAAUGGGACAUGA
rnacentral:sRNA from 1 species